CGACAUGUGAAGGCCCACAAUGACACACACUGACUAGUGCCGUUGUCUCAUUUUUCAGUCUAUCCCUAAAUCAGGGAGAUGGAAUGUGAUGACGGCUGAGUCCUAGGCUCGCCACAGUUCUUACGGAUGAGGUGCAUUGAUGACUACAGCCAGGGAAAUGAUAGCAAAAACACAGGAUGCAAAACAAAAUGAAACGAAACAAAACAAAACAAGACAAGACAAAAAAGUCAGGCUCCCUGGGUCACUUAAAGGGGACGCUCUGGGCUGAACAAAGAGAAAUCCAGACUUCCCAAGGACAUCUCUGCUAACCUUAACUGAAGACAAAGUCUUAUGGCUGAAAGACAAGAAAAACUUCUCAUUUGCUGUCGGCCAGUUCUGGCUUUGGUUCCUGUGACAAAUCUACAAAAUGUCUUCUCUUCUUCUGUUGGCAGCUGAACUGGAUUGUGAUUGAUGCCUAGAUCACUGGAAUUGGUUAUCUGGGGCCAUGACGUCAUUAGGG
rnacentral:lncRNA from 1 species